GUGAGGUAGUGAUUAGUGACAGAGUGAGGGAGGGAAUGGGUGACUAGUGACAGAGUGAGGGAGGGUGUGACUAGUGACAGAAUAAGGGAGGGGGUGAUGGUCACUAGUCACCUCAUCCCUCCCUCUGUCACUAGUCACCCCCUCCCGCACUCUGUCACUAGUCACCCCCUCACGCACUCUGUCACUAGUCACCCCCUCCCGCACUCUGUCACUGUGUCACCCCAUCCCUCCCUCUGUCACUGUGUCACCCCAUCCCUCCCUCUGUCACUAGUCAUCCCUUCCUUCAC